UUUCCUAGAAUAUAUUUAAGUAAAGCAAAACAGCACAGUUGCACAUAGUGUGAUUAUGCAGCAAGAAUGUGAUUGAGUCACUUAAAUAAUGCCACACUCCAAUACACGGUUACAAAAUAGAUGCAUCAUUAACAGUGAUGGUAAAUCUACACCUUUAUACAUCAGUCAUUGAGCACAUAGCUCCAGUACACUAGCUAACAACUUGCAGAUGCCCGGCCCCAACACAUAAUACCUCCAGUACACUAGCUAACAACUUGAAAAAGUCCGGCGCCAAUAGCUAAUAGCUCCACUACACUAGCCAAGAACAUACUAAUGCAAUACUAUUAGUCCUAAAAACUUGCAGAGGUCGGUAGGGCCAACAAGCAACCUAAAACAAAAAAAAUUAAUUGGUCAAGCAGUAGGAAAACUCGCAAGAAUUUAUACCUAAUUUUUAAUUCUAAUCUAUGAAUAUAGAUAUAUCCAGUGCAUGUUGUAUUUAUUAGCAAGCAAAAUUUUAGAACUAUUCUCAAAACUAAGUCCAGAGGAAUGUACAGUGAUCAUGUUUGCUGCACUUCCUUGUUCUUGUUCUUCUCUUUCUGUCUUCACUUUCCACCCUUAUCCUUAUAUCCCUUUAGUCCAUUUAUUCUACCUCAUGAUGUGCAUAAGCUUCAUAGAAAUCCUUGGCUGCGCUCAAAUCUGUAAAAGUCAUCCCUAUGGCUGGCCUGAUGUCAUCAUCACACUCCGGAGUACAAGAUGAGCCGUGAAAUGUGGACGAAAAGCACAAUGGUUUAACAUGCUGGAAUACAAGAAAUUAUAAGCAUGCACACAUUAGUUAGACAAGUACUUACACAGAAAGGUGCACUAUACAAUUUUUGUGGUGUGGCAAAUACAAUUUUCGGACUUGGUCUAGUGUGGAUGGCUUAUUCUGCAUCAAACUGGGAGUUGCAAAUAGCCAAAGGUGGAAACUUGCUCACUUCACUGUGGCAUUUCAUAAUUACUUCACAAAGAGAAGAAAUACAGUUUGUAAGUCGAAAGCACACCGUCAUAGGAGCCAGCCAAUAUGUGCUUUCCGGAAUAGCAUAGAAUAAAAUAAACUGCUAGAAAGAACAUUCAAGUGUUAGAAGUACCUAAUAUCAGCUCACUUCACCAAUCAAUUGCAAUAUAAAUUAAAACUGACAGCUAAAAUCAUUUCUACAUUUUUUCUAUGCUCAACCAGUUUCAACUCCUUUCUUAUGCCCAACGUACUACACACAAGUCUACAAGAAGUAAGGCUGAAGUUUUAGAACCUGUAGUAUUCCCAAAACCGUGGUUUUUUUGUUGUGUCUAGAAAAGAGGUCCCGGCCCAUUUUUUCUAAACCAAAUGAGACGAAACGUCAGGGAGAGAGCUGUUUAUGUCCCUAUCCACGACGAAAUAAGAAUAGAUGUGAUCUCUACCUUCGAUUUCUCCUCAUUCUGUUAUAUGGUAAAUUAGUUGUAAUAUAUCUCUUGCUUAUUAGGCAUUUUGGGUUGAUUAAAUUGUGCUCUCGGAUCCAUUUUCUUCCAGCUGUCGUCACAAUUACUUUUGAUCUAGUUGAUUGGUGAACCUUGAUCAAUCAUGUACCUCCAGGUUAGAUUAAUUAAGCAAUUUCAUGCCAGCUGUGCUGGUCAAAACCAUGGUAAAACAACAUCCAAACACCUCGAUAGUUUUGGUAAAACUGAGAAAAACUACAAUUUCAAGAACCUGUAGUAUUUCUUGCCUAGGCAUUGGAAUACUUCGGUUUUGGAUUACCACAAUUUUCUAAAAAUUGUGCUGCCAAACUAAGCCUGAUAGUUUCCUUCAUUUAACAACCAUACAGUAACAAAUAUGCCUAGAACCACCAUUAUGAUAUACAGUAUUGUCAAAUUAGCAUGAUGGGAUCUCCCUCUUGCUGCAUUAAUAUAAAACUUACUUACCCAAUGAAUUAGUCUUUACCAACUUCUUGAAGACCAAAAUCUGGACAGUAGAGUUAGGGGCAAUCUGCAGUUCCAGCCAAGAUACUACUACCUAAUUCCCUCCCCUACUCUAUUUGCUUUGCUUUGCAUACCUAGCCCAAUUAGAAGUGCUAAUCUUGGAGGAGACAACCAGAACCCACGACCUUGUCAUCUCUAUUUGCUUUGCAAACCUAGCCCAACCGAGAGAAAAAACUACUAGUUGAGCCACGAUAAGAAGAACGUGGCAAAACAUAACAUAGAAGAUGAACAAUGUAAUAGAAAGGUCCAUACCUUCAGACCUAGAUCCAGUACAAUCCGAUGGGGAAUGCCCAGAGGACGAUUGGCUCGUUGGGCCAGCCGCCGGAGAGG
rnacentral:lncRNA from 1 species